rnacentral:rRNA from 1 species
UACGUAGGGUGGCAAGCGUUGUCCGGAAUUAUUGGGCGUAAAGCGCGCGCAGGCGGUCCUUUAAGUCUGAUGUGAAAGCCCACGGCUCAACCGUGGAGGGUCAUUGGAAACUGGGGGACUUGAGUGCAGGAGAGAAGAGUGGAAUUCCACGUGUAGCGGUGAAAUGCGUAGAGAUGUGGAGGAACACCAGUGGCGAAGGCGACUAUCUGGUCUGUAACUGACACUGAGGCGCGAAAGCGUGGGGAGCAAACAGG